rnacentral:rRNA from 1 species
AGUCGAGUGCGCGUGCCGUAGCAAUACGGUAUGGCGCACGGCGCACGGGUGCGUAACACGUGGGCAAUCUGCCCUCCGAUGGGGAAUAACUCCGGGAAACCGAAGCUAAUUCCGCAUAACAUUCCCUGGACUCCGGUUCGGGGAUUCAAAGCAGCAAUGCGUCGGAGGAGGAGCCCGCGCCCGAUUAGCUAGUUGGUGAGGUAACGGCUCACCAAGGCUAUGAUCGGUAGCUGGUCUGAGAGGAUGGCCAGCCACACUGGAACUGAGACACGGUCCAGACUCCUACGGGAGGCAGCAGUGGGGAAUCUUGCGCAAUGGGCGAAAGCCUGACGCAGCGACGCCGCGUGGGGGAUGAAGCUUCUCGGAGUGUAAACCCCUUUCGACCGGGACGAAUGCCCGCAAGGGAGUGACGGUACCGGUAGAAGAAGCCCCGGCUAACUACGUGCCAGCAGCCGCGGUAAGACGUAGGGGGCCAGCGUUGUUCGGAAUUACUGGGUGUAAAGGGUUCGUAGGCGGUGUGGCAAGUCGGGAGUGAAAUUUCUGGGCUUAACCCAGAACCUGCUUCCGAAACUGCUGUGCUGGAGUGUGGGAGAGGCGCGUGGAAUUGCAGGUGUAGCGGUGAAAUGCGUAGAUAUCUGCAGGAACACCCGUGGCGAAAGCGGCGCGCUGGACCACUACUGACGCUGAGGAACGAAAGCUAGGGGAGCAAACAGGAUUAGAUACCCUGGUAGUCCUAGCCCUAAACGAUCAGGACUUGGGGUGCCACCCGUUCGGGUGUCGUCCCGGAGCUAACGCGUUAAGUCCUGCACCUGGGGAGUACGGUCGCAAGACUGAAACUCAAAGGAAUUGACGGGGGCCC